GUUUUCGGAUCGUAAAGCUCUGUUGUUAGGGAAGAACAAGUGCAAGAGUAACUGCUUGCACCUUGACGGUACCUAACCAGAAAGCCACGGCUAACUACGUGCCAGCAGCCGCGGUAAUACGUAGGUGGCAAGCGUUGUCCGGAAUUAUUGGGCGUAAAGGGCUCGCAGGCGGUUUCUUAAGUCUGAUGUGAAAGCCCCCGGCUCAACCGGGGAGGGUCAUUGGAAACUGGGAAACUUGAGUGCAGAAGAGGAGAGUGGAAUUCCACGUGUAGCGGUGAAAUGCGUAGAGAUGUGGAGGAACACCAGUGGCGAAGGCGACUCUCUGGUCUGUAACUGACGCUGAGGAGCGAAAGCGUGGGGAGCGAACAGGAUUAGAUACCCUGGUAGUCCACGCCGUAAACGAUGAGUGCUAAGUGUUAGGGGGUUUCCGCCCCUUAGUGCUGCAGCUAACGCAUUAAGCACUCCGCCUGGGGAGUACGGUCGCAAGACUGAAACUCAAAGGAAUUGACGGGGGCCCGCACAAGCGGUGGAGCAUGUGGUUUAAUUCGAAGCAACGCGAAGAACCUUACCAGGUCUUGACAUCCUCUGACAACCCUAGAGAUAGGGCUUUCCCUUCGGGGACAGAGUGACAGGUGGUGCAUGGUUGUCGUCAGCUCGUGUCGUGAGAUGUUGGGUUAAGUCCCGCAACGAGCGCAACCCUUGAUCUUAGUUGCCAGCAUUCAGUUGGGCACUCUAAGGUGACUGCCGGUGACAAACCGGAGGAAGGUGGGGAUGACGUCAAAUCAUCAUGCCCCUUAUGACCUGGGCUACACACGUGCUACAAUGGACAGAACAAAGGGCUGCGAGACCGCAAGGUUUAGCCAAUCCCACAAAUCUGUUCUCAGUUCGGAUCGCAGUCUGCAACUCGACUGCGUGAAGCUGGAAUCGCUAGUAAUCGCGGAUCAGCAUGCCGGGUGAAUACGUUCCCGGGCCUUGUACACACCGCCCGUCACAC
rnacentral:rRNA from 1 species